rnacentral:rRNA from 1 species
UACGAAGGGGGCUAGCGUUGCUCGGAAUCACUGGGCGUAAAGCGCACGUAGGCGGAUUGUUAAGUCAGGGGUGAAAUCCUGGAGCUCGACUCCAGAACUGCCUUUGAUACUGGCGAUCUUGAGUUCGGGAGAGGUGAGUGGAACUGCGAGUGUAGAGGUGAAAUUCGUAGAUAUUCGCAAGAACACCAGUGGCGAAGGCGGUUGCCUGGGGCUUUGCUGACGCUGAGGCGCGAAAGCGUGGGGAGCGAUCCGG